rnacentral:rRNA from 1 species
GUGGGGAAUUUUGGACAAUGGACGAAAGUCUGAUCCAGCCAUUCCGCGUGCAGGACGAAGGCCUUCGGGUUGUAAACUGCUUUUGUACGGAACGAAAAAGCCUUGGCUAAUACCCAGGGUCCAUGACGGUACCGUAAGAAUAAGCACCGGCUAACUACGUGCCAGCAGCCGCGGUAAUACGUAGGGUGCGAGCGUUAAUCGGAAUUACUGGGCGUAAAGCGUGCGCAGGCGGUUUUGUAAGACAGAGGUGAAAUCCCCGGGCUCAACCUGGGAACUGCCCUUUGUGACUGCAAGGCUAGAGUGCGGCAGAGGGGGAUGGAAUUCCGCGUGUAGCAGUGAAAUGCGUAGAUAUGCGGAGGAACACCGAUGGCGAAGGCAAUCCCCUGGGCCUGCACUGACGCUCAUGCACGAAAGCGUGGGGAGCAAACAGGAUUA